CGUGGCGUGGGUCGGACCCCCUCUCUGAGGGCAGUGGUUGGGCCGAGCCAGAGCCCCGCCCCGGAGGGUGGGGCUGAGGAGUCCUUUCCCUGGCCUGGCCCACCGAGGUCUGCGCCCACCUCCACGCCGGGGGAAGGGCGGGGAGGGGGCCUUCCGGUCACGGCCGCGGGCGGCGUGGAGGCUGGACGUCCUGCUUCCCCUCAGGGCCUGGUGGCACCUGUGCACCGUCCCCAAACCGCCCAGGGCGAGGUCGGCACUCGGGCCACCUGAUGCCAAGUGCCCAUGAAACGGACCCGACUCUCGAGAUUCUGAUAACGCGGCGUGACAUUCGACCCCGACCCAUCUUUGCCCCCUGAGGAGAGCAGGCCCGAAGGUUAUGCCAACAUACAAUGAAUUGAGGAGUGUUUCUUUUUUGUUCUGUUCUUCGAAAGAGUUUGUGAACCUGUACUACUACAAUGGAAUCCACAGAAUUUUGAAAUUAGUCAAACUACUACUUUCCAGCCCUCGUUCUAAUAGUUACAAAAAGAUGAUGGUAAGUAAAGUUAUGAAGUAGGUUCAGUCAAACCUGAAUUUCUUACAACAAAAUAUAUAAGUACUUAGAAUCUGGCAAUUUUUAGACAUUCCUUUCUGGUGAUCUUUUCCCAGACUUACGAUGUCUUUUUCAGGUAAUAUUACUACUAUGUUCACAAAUUAGAAAGAAAGAGAAAAAUUUGAGAAAACUAUAGUAAUUUAAAAAGAACACUGGUUUUAUCUAUGCCAUUUCUAUUGGCUACUGAAAAUAGUUAGAAAUAAGUAAAAAUAU